GAUUAACGCUAGCGGCAGGCCUAAUACAUGCAAGUCGAACGGCAGCACGGGUAGCAAUACCUGGUGGCGAGUGGCGCACGGGUGCGUAACACGUAUGCAAUCUACCUUUAACUGGGGAACAACCCCUCGAAAGAGGGGCUAAUACCGCAUAACAUCAUGAGGUGGCAUUAUCUUAUGAUCAAACUUACGGGGGUUAAAGAUGAGCAUGCGUCCGAUUAGCUAGUUGGCGGGGUAACGGCCCACCAAGGCAACGAUCGGUAGGGGGUCUGAGAGGAUGAUCCCCCACACUGGUACUGAGACACGGACCAGACUCCUACGGGAGGCAGCAGUAAGGAAUAUUGGACAAUGGAGGCAACUCUGAUCCAGCAUGCCGCGUGCAGGAUGAAGGCGCUCUGCGUUGUAAACUGCUUUUACACGGGAAUAACUCCGCCAUUCUUGGC
rnacentral:rRNA from 1 species